AGCUGCACUGUGACAAGCUGCACGUGGAUCCCGAGAACUUCAAGCUCCUGGGCAACGUGCUGGUGUGUGUGCUGGCUCACCACUUUGGCAAAGAAUUCACCCCUCAGGUGCAGGCUGCCUAUCAGAAGGUGGUGGCUGGUGUGGCCAAUGCCCUGGCUCACAAGUACCAUUGAGAUCCUGGCCUGUUUCCUGGUGACCACUGGAAGACCCUGUUUCCCUAAAUUCUAUCUUCUGAACUGGGGGAAAUAAUGUCCACCAUCAAGGGUAUGGUUUCUGCCUAAUAAAGAACCUUCAGCUCAA